GCUGGUUCAAAGAAGAGUAAACUACCUAUCAGAAGAAAUAUAAUUCUUGCAGAUGCUCCAGCUCCUCAGCCUGCAAAUGCUCUAGCUGCCAGGAAAAAGAAGCAGAUUCUCAAGAAAAACCUCAGUUCUAGCUGCCAGGCAUCAACAAGCCCAAGUGUUGCUUUGUCUGGAACAAAUGACUUCCAUGGAGUUCUCCCCGGAACCUUUCAGUGCUACAAAUAUUGUCACAUGUAUGCAUUUCAAUAAGAGUAAAAUGCAUCAGAGGUCCCAA